rnacentral:tRNA from 1 species
GAUCCCUUAGCUCAGCGGUAGAGCGUCUGAUUCCAGUAAACAUCACAUUCGGUUGGAUUCCAGAAGGUCAUCCGUUCAAUCCGGGUAGGGGUCA